rnacentral:rRNA from 1 species
CCUACGGGAGGCAGCAGUGGGGGAUAUUGGAAAAUGGGCGAAAGCCUGAUCCAGCGACGCCGCGUGAGUGAAGAAGUAGUUCGGUAUGUAAAGCUCUAUCAGCCGGGGAGAAAGAAAAGACGUUACCUGCGUAAGAAGCCCCGGGUAACUACGUGCCAUGAGCCGCGGUAAGACGUAGGGGGCAAGCGUUAUCCGGAUUUACGGGGUGUAAAGGGAGCGUAGACGGUAAUGCAGUUCUGGGGGGAAAGGCGGGGGCCCAAACCCCGGACUGCCCUGGAAACUGUGUAACUGGAGUGCCGGAGAGGCAUGCGGAAUGCCUAGUGUAGCGGUGAAAUGCGUAGAUAUUAGGAGGAACACCAGUGGCGAAGGCGGCCUGCUGGACUGUAACUGACGUUGAGGCUCGAAAGCGUGGGGAGCAAACAGGAUUAGAUACCCUUGUAGUC